rnacentral:tRNA from 1 species
GGAGGAUAUACUCAGUGGUAGAGUGCAUGCUUUGCAUGCGUAAGGUCCUCGGUUCAGACCCUAGUACCUCCA